AUAAAUAAAUUUUUUAUGAUUUAUAAUAAUUUUUUAAAAAUUUAUUUUACAUAUAAAUUUUAGUGUAAAAUUUUAAUUAUUUUAAAAAUAUUUAAUUUAUGAAAAUAGUAAUUAAUAUUAAAAAUUUAAGAAAUUAAGAUUUAGUAAUAUAGAAAUUAAUAACAAAUUUUGUGCCAGCAGUUGCGGUUAUACAAAAAUUAAAUUAAAUUUUAUUAGAUAUUAAUAAAUAAUUAAGUAAAUUAAUUUAAAUAUUAAAUUAUUAGGUAAAAUUUUAAUUUAAUUAAAAUUGAUAAGAAAAAUUAAUUAUGAUUUAAUAAAUUUUAUUAUCCACUAGGAUUAGAUACCCUAUUAUUAAAAAUUUAAAUAAAAAUACUAAAGUAGUAAAUAAUUAUUUAUUGAAACUUAAAUAAUUUGGCGGUAUUUUAGUUUAUUUAGAGGAAUCUGUUUAUUAAUUGAUAAUCCACGAAUAAUUUUACUUAAUUAAAAAUUUUGUAUAUCGUUGUUAAAAAAAUAUUUUUAAAUAAUUAUAAUAUUUAAAAAUUUUAAAUAAAAAUUAAAUCAGAUCAAGAUGCAGAUUAUAAUUAAGAAUAUAAUGGAUUACAAUAAAUUUAUUUAUAUGGAAAUUGAAUUGAAAAAUUGAAUUGAAAGUGGAUUUAAAUGUAAUUUUAUUUAAUUUAAUAAAAUGAUUAAAAAUUAAAAUAUGUACAUAUUGCCCGUCGCUUUCAUUUAUAAGUUGAAAUAAGUCGUAACAAAGUAGAGGUACUGGAAAGUGUUUCUAGAAAAAUCA
rnacentral:ncRNA from 1 species